GUGCCGGUGGUGUAAGGCGAACAUCGCUGCCCGGAAAGCAGAAGAUUUGGGUUCGAGUCCCGCCUGGCGCA
rnacentral:tRNA from 1 species